rnacentral:rRNA from 1 species
UACGUAGGUGGCAAGCGUUGUCCGGAUUUACUGGGCGUAAAGAGCGCGCAGGCGGUCGUUCAAGUCGCGUGUGAAAGCCCCCGGCUCAACUGGGGAGGGUCACGCGAUACUGAUCGACUCGAAGGCAGGAGAGGGAAGUGGAAUUCCCGGUGUAGUGGUGAAAUGCGUAGAGAUGCGGAGGAACACCGAUGGCGAAGGCAGCCCCCUGGGCCGACAUUGACGCUGAGACUCGAAAGCGUGGGGAGCAAACAGG